rnacentral:rRNA from 1 species
CCUACGGGAGGCAGCAGUGGGGAAUUUUGGACAAUGGGCGCAAGCCUGAUCCAGCCAUGCCGCGUGAGUGAAGAAGGCCUUCGGGUUGUAAAGCUCUUUCGGCGGGGAAGAAAAGGUUCGUGCUAAUACCACGAACUAAUGACGGUACCCGAAGAAGAAGCACCGGCUAACUACGUGCCAGCAGCCGCGGUAAUACGUAGGGUGCAGGCGUUAAUCGGAAUUACUGGGCGUAAAGCGUGCGCAGGCGGUUUGUUAAGACAGAUGUGAAAUCCCCGGGCUUAACCCCAGACCUGCAUUCGAUACGGGCGAGCUUGAGUAUGGUAGGGGAGUCUGGAAUUCCUGGUGUAGCGGUGGAAUGCGCAGAUAUCAGGAGGAACACCAAUGGCGAAGGCAGGACUCUGGGCCAUUACUGACACUGAGGAGCGAAAGCGUGGGGAGCGAACAGGAUUAGAUACCCUGGUAGUCCACGCCGUAAACGGUGGGCACUAGUUGUGGGGACCUUCCACGGUCUCUGCGACGCAGCUAACGCAUUAAGUGCCCCGCUGGGGAUACGAUCGCAAGUUAAAACNAAGAUGACGNUGAGACGNGCGAGACGACGACGAGGAGAGG